rnacentral:rRNA from 1 species
CCUACGGGAGGCAGCAGUGGGGAAUUUUGGACAAUGGGCGCAAGCCUGAUCCAGCAAUGCCGCGUGCAGGAAGAAGGCCUUCGGGUUGUAAACUGCUUUUGUACGGAGCGAAAAGGCUCCCUCUAAUACAGGGGGCUCAUGACGGUACCGUAAGAAUAAGCACCGGCUAACUACGUGCCAGCAGCCGCGGUAAUACGUAGGGUGCGAGCGUUAAUCGGAAUUACUGGGCGUAAAGCGUGCGCAGGCGGUUGUGCAAGACAGAUGUGAAAUCCCCGGGCUCAACCUGGGAACUGCAUUUGUGACUGCACGACUAGAGUACGGCAGAGGGGGGUAGAAUUCCACGUGUAGCAGUGAAAUGCGUAGAGAUGUGGAGGAAUACCGAUGGCGAAGGCAGCCCCCUGGGUCGAUACUGACGCUCAUGCACGAAAGCGUGGGGAGCAAACAGGAUUAGAUACCCUGGUAGUCCACGCCCUAAACGAUGUCAACUAGUUGUUGGUAGGGUUAAACCUAUUAGUAACGUAGCUAACGCGUGAAGUUGACCGCCUGGGGAGUACGGUCGCAAGAUUAAAACUCAAAGGAAUUGACGG